rnacentral:lncRNA from 1 species
AUGUGUGUGUGUGUGUGUAACAAGGCAAACAAUCAUAACAGCAGCAACAACAAACAGAAGCACAGCCCCGGUCCCAGCCCCGGUCCCAGACCCGGUCCUGGCCCGGAGCACAGACCCGGUCCUGGCCCGGAGCACAGACCCGGUCCCAGACCCGGUCCCGGCCCGGAGCACAGACCCGGUCCCAGACCCGGUCCCGGCCCGAAGCAGCACAGACCCGGUCCCGGCCCGGUCCCAGACCCGGUCCCAGACCCGGUCCCGGCCCGGAGCACAGACCCGGUCCCAGCCCCGGUCCCAGACCCGGUCCCGGCCCGGAGCACAGACCCGGUCCCAGCCCCGGUCCCAGACCCGGUCCCGGCCCGGAGCACAGACCCGGUCCCAGACCCGGUCCCGGCCCGAAGCACAGACCCGGUCCCAGCCCCGGUCCCAGACCCGGUCCCGGCCCGGAGCACAGACCCGGUCCCAGCCCCGGUCCCAGACCCGGUCCCGGCCCGAAGCACAGACCCGGUCCCAGACCCGGUCCCAGCCCCGGUCCCAGACCCGGUCCCGGCCCGGUCCCAGACCCGGUCCCGGCCCGGUCCCAGACCCGGUCCCAGAGCCGGUCCCGGCCCGGUCCCAGACCCGGUCCCAGACCCGGUCCCAGACCCGGUCCCGGCCCGGUCCCAGACCCGGUCCCAGAGCCGGUCCCAGAGCCGGUCCCAGAGCCGGUCCCAGACCCGCUCCCAGACCCGGUCCCAGCCCCGGUCCCAGACCCGGUCCCAGACCCGGUCCCGGCCCGAAGCAGCACAGACCCGGUCCCGGCCCGGAGCACAGACCCGGUCCCGGCCCGAAGCAGCACAGACCCGGUCCCAGACCCGGUCCCAGACCCGGUCCCAGACCCGGUCCCGGCCCGGAGCACAGACCCGGUCCCAGACCCGGUCCCGGCCUCUCCCGCCCGCCCGCACUUUCCCCUUCGGUGCAGUUCCGGGCACAGCCGGCAGGGGCGCCGGUGGCUCCCGGCCGGGCCGGGCAGUGCGAUGA